rnacentral:snRNA from 1 species
UUUUCUCGGGAGAGAGAGGUGAU